GGGCUGAGAUUUAAACCCAGAACUGUCUACUGCCAAAGCUUUUGCGCUCUCCCUCGUGCCACGUUGCUUCUCAUUUUGGGCUUGGUCUCCACUUCCCAGUCCUUGAAGGAGUUCUCCAGGUCUGCCCCAUUAGCACUGCAUCUCAGAAGGAAGCUGCAGCUGCGCCGCCAAUCUCCCGGUGGUAGGUGCUUAAUAAACAUUAUGAAGUGCAUGAACAAAUGAAUAGCCCCUGAUGGACAGACAUGCUUGAGAAACACUAUUUUUCACAUUCCUAUCUACACUCAAGAUUUUACCUAUGAUAGCAGGCUGAAGAUUCCCAGGAUCUUACAUCCUAGCAGCCCUAACAGUUCAGCUGAGCUGAAAGGAUGAGGAGGAAGCCCUUGGCGAUGGAACUUCUAGACAAGCCAAGGCCUGCCUGGCAGAGCUGGGAGCAGAUUGAGGAAGACACCACUGCCCCUCCACCCACCCCGCCGCCGCCUUCAUGUUGCCUUGAUCUUCUAUCCUCAGCUGACAUUUUUGUCGCUCAUCUCUGAUUGAAGAAACCUCAGUUUCUUAUUUGAUCUUUCCUGGACAACCGUUUAAUAGGCAGCAAGAAAAAGAGAUGAGAGAAAGUGAUUUUUCAUCCCUGACUUGACAUGAUAUUUUCCUUUUAACAAUUUAUCCAUACCUCUCCUCUCAGUUUCUCUCCUUUCAUAUACUCACAUACUAUCUGCCUCUCUGCAUAGCAAAGCAACCUUUUGAGCAGUUCUCUAAGAAGAUUCUAAAAAGCAAGGAAAAAGCAGGAUCACAAUAGCUCCUUCCCCAGUUCAAUUCAGCAAGCUUUUCUGAGCACCAGUCCAGAUGCAAGGCACAAUGAGAGGCAAGAUGAAGAAUGGGGGUUACUCUAUCCUCAUCGGACCAAUUUAGAAUCCAGUACAUGCACAUACAGGAAAAAUCCAAUGUGUUCAUCAUCUGUGUGUUCCAUAAUCAUUUACUGAGCACCUUUUAUCAAAAAGAGAAACCAUUUUUAAAGUAAACUGGAUUCUCUAUUAUAACAACAGUGAAGUUUGGCAAAAUGUUUUCCUCAUGUGAAGGCUUGAAUUUAAAGAAUUUUAAUUUAUGUUCAUUAUGAUUCAAUCCAACAUUUGUCUUUUUGUAUGUAUUAGAUCUUGCGAGGGACACAAAGAUAAUCAAGUUGUGGAUCUAGGUCUUAAGACGUAUAAAAUUGAGUGGGUCUAUGUCUUCCAAUACACAAAGUCAAGUGGAGAGACAUAAAUAACACUAACUUCAGUGCAAUGUAUACUAAAGGAUACGGAAUGACUUAUUCAGCAGCUACUAUGUGCCUGGUGCUUUACCCAUAUGAUUAAUAAAGCAUCUUUUGGUGAUA
ensembl:lncRNA novel transcript